AUGAUACACAUCCUCAGAGAUGUGGACACCAAGGAACUUAAGGCUGGAGACACACUCUACUUCAGACCCGUUGAUUCUUUAGAUCUCCUGCCUGUAGGCCGAUUCAUCGUUGUUGCUGAUUCGGCCAACAACUGUGGUAUCAUCUGCAUACUUGAUGAAGACGUUGGAGUUAUGUUGCGGAACACAGUCAAGGGUGUCACCCAGCCCAGUGUGACGGUGCUGCCCCCCUCCAGUGUGGAGCUGCAGCAGGAGAAGGUCACACUCAUGUGUGUGGCCUACAAGGGCUUCCCCUCGGACUGGAAGUUGAGCUGGAAGGUUGAUGGCAGCAGCUGGAGCUCGGGGGAAAGCAGCAGCACCUCCGUUCUGAACGCUGACGGCCUCUACAGCUGGAGCAGCACACUGAGCCUCCACCGGGAGCAGUGGAGGAACAAGGUGGUGACCUGUGAGGCCUCCAAAGACAACCAACCUACUGUGGUGAGCACAGUGAACACAGAGCAGUGCUCAGAGCUGUGAGAUCACACACACUUUACUCAGCUCACCUUCUACUGCUUCACUGUGUGGUACAUGUGGCCUUUACUGCUCAAAUCAUCCUCUCUCAUCAUUUCAUUUGUGUUAUUAACAUGUGAGCUCACACACUCCUCAGUUUAAC